AUUGAACGCUGGCGGCAGGCCUAACACAUGCAAGUCGAGCGGAGCGGCGGACGGGUGAGUAAUGCCUCGGAAUCUGCCUGGUAGUGGGGGAUAACGUCCGGAAACGGGCGCUAAUACCGCAUACUAUCAGAUGAGCCUAGGUCGGAUUAGCUAGUUGGUGGGGUAAAGGCCUACCAAGGCGACGAUCCGUAACUGGUCUGAGAGGAUGAUCAAGCACACUGGAACUGAGACACGGUACAGACUCCUACGGGAGGCAGCAGUGGGGAAUAUUGGACAAGUGGCGGAAUCCUGAUCCAGCCAUGCCGCGUGUGUGAAGAAGGGCUGCGGAGAGUAAAGCAAUUUAAGUUGGGGGGCGGUACCAACAGAAUAAGCACCGGCUAACUUCGUGCCAGCCGCCGCGGUAAUAC
rnacentral:rRNA from 1 species